rnacentral:rRNA from 1 species
UACGAAGGGGGCUAGCGUUGUUCGGAAUUACUGGGCGUAAAGCGCACGUAGGCGGAUUGUUAAGUUAGGGGUGAAAUCCCAGGGCUCAACCCUGGAACUGCCUUUAAUACUGGCAAUCUCGAGUCCGAGAGAGGUGAGUGGAAUUCCGAGUGUAGAGGUGAAAUUCGUAGAUAUUCGGAAGAACACCAGUGGCGAAGGCGACUUACUGGACACAUAUUGACGCUGAGGUGCGAAAGCGUGGGGAUCAAACAGG